rnacentral:snRNA from 2 species
GUGCUAGCUUUGGCAGCACCUAUACUAAAACUGGAAUGAAACAGAGAAGAUUAGCAUGGCCCCUGCGCAUGGAUGACACGAAAGUUCAUGAAGCGUUCCAUAUUAAA